rnacentral:rRNA from 1 species
UGCAGUCGAGCGAGAUCUUCGGAUCUAGCGGCGGACGGGUUAGUAACGCGUGGGAACGUACCCAAAGGUAGGGAAUAGCCACUGGAAACGGUGAGUAAUACCCUAUGUGCCCUUCGGGGGAAAGAUUUAUCGCCUUUGGAUCGGCCCGCGUUAGAUUAGAUAGUUGGUGGGGUAACGGCCUACCAAGUCUACGAUCUAUAGCUGGUUUUAGAGGAUGAUCAGCAACACUGGGACUGAGACACGGCCCAGACUCCUACGGGAGGCAGCAGUGGGGAAUCUUAGACAAUGGGCGAAAGCCUGAUCUAGCCAUGCCGCGUGUGUGAUGAAGGCCCUAGGGUCGUAAAGCACUUUCGCCAGAGAUGAUAAUGACAGUAUCUGGUAAAGAAACCCCGGCUAACUCCGUGCCAGCAGCCGCGGUAAUACGGAGGGGGUUAGCGUUGUUCGGAAUUACUGGGCGUAAAGCGUACGUAGGCGGAUUAGUAAGUUAGGGGUGAAAUCCCGAGGCUCAACCUCGGAACUGCCUCUAAAACUGCUAGUCUUGAGUUCGAGAGAGGUGAGUGGAAUUCCGAGUGUAGAGGUGAAAUUCGUAGAUAUUCGGAGGAACACCAGUGGCGAAGGCGGCUCACUGG